rnacentral:SRP_RNA from 1 species
GCCAGGCGUGGUGGCGUGUACCUGUAUUCCUGGCUAUUUGGGAGGCUGAGGCUGGAGGAUCUCUUGAGUCCAGGAGUUCUGGGCUGUAGUGCGCUAUGCCGAUCGGGUGUCCGCACUAAGUUUGGCAUCAAUAUGGUGACCUCCCGGAGCGGAGGACCACCAGGUUGCCUAAGGAGGGGUGAACCGGCCCAGGUCGGAAAUGGAGCAGAUCAAAACUCCCGUGGUGAUCAGUAGUGGGAUCGCGCCUGUGAAUAGCCACUGCUCUCCAGCCUGGGCAACAUAGCAAGACUUCGUCUCU